rnacentral:rRNA from 1 species
AUGCGGCGCAUUAGCUAGUCGGCGGGGUAACGGCCCACCGAGGCGACGAUGCGUAGGGGUUCUGAGAGGAAGGUCCCCCACACUGGUACUGAGACACGGACCAGACUCCUACGGGAGGCAGCAGUGAGGAAUAUUGGUCAAUGGCCGGGAGGCUGAACCAGCCAAGUCGCGUGAGGGAAGACGGCCCUACGGGUUGUAAACCUCUUUUGUCAGGGAGCAAGAGGCGGGUCGAGACCUGCUGUGAGAGUACCUGAAGAAAAAGCAUCGGCUAACUCCGUGCCAGCAGCCGCGGUAAUACGGAGGAUGCGAGCGUUAUCCGGAUUUAUUGGGUUUAAAGGGUGCGCAGGCGGAGGCACAAGUCAGCGGUAAAAUCGCGGGGCUCAACCCCGCUCCGCCGUUGAAACUGUGUCCCUUGAGUGCGCGAAGGGUAGGCGGAAUGCGUGGUGUAGCGGUGAAAUGCAUAGAUAUCACGCAGAACUCCGAUCGCGAAGGCAGCCUACCGGCGCGCAACUGACGCUCAUGCACGAAAGCGUGGGUAUCGAACAGGAUUAGAUACCCUGGUAGUCCACGCAGUAAACGAUGAAUGCUAUCUGUCCGGCCGGAAUGACGGCUGGGUGGC